rfam:Omnitrophica WOR_2 bacterium RIFCSPHIGHO2_02_FTLL_48_11 rifcsphigho2_02_scaffold_4237, whole genome shotgun sequence.
GGCGGUGUAGCUCAGCUGAUAGAGCAUUCGGUUCAUACCCGACAGGUCAGUGGUUUAAAUCCACUCGCCGCCA